CUUAAAGUGCCCAUAGAAGCUAAAGCCCACCCCAAUGGCUAGAUCAGUUUCUCCACAGCCUUCUCCCUUGCUGACUUCAGACAGACAGAGUCCCUUUCCUAUUUAGUCUUCUCUGAGAGUCUAAACUUUAAAAAUAUAAAUGACCUGAACUUAGUCCAUAUCACUGAUAUAAAAUCUGUGGUCAUAAGAGUGGGAACCUCAUCCAAUAGGACUGGCAUCCUCAGAGGAAGAGGAAAAAAUACCAAGGAUGAAGUCACCUGAAAGAAAGGCCAUGUGCACCUACAGUGAGGAGGCCACUAUCUGCAAGCCACGGAAAGAGACUCAGGAUAAAUCAAGCUUGCCGACAUCUUGGUCUCGGACUUUCAGCCUCCAGACUGUUCUCAGACUAGAGGGGGGCCAAAAAAAUGUAAACCUGAGAACGCAACUGGAUGAAUACACAGCCCUGUCCACACGACUUGCUCCAGCAUCUACAUGUGCCCCCAUGAAGCUGUGAGCACCAAGAGAAGAGGGA
rnacentral:lncRNA from 1 species